rnacentral:rRNA from 1 species
UACGGGGGGAGCAAGCGUUGUUCGGAUUUACUGGGCGUAAAGGGCGCGUAGGCGGCCAGCACAAGUCAGUUGUGAAAUCUCCGAGCUUAACUCGGAAAGGUCAACUGAUACUGUGCGGCUAGAGUGCAGAAGGGGCAACUGGAAUUCUUGGUGUAGCGGUGAAAUGCGCAGAUAUCAGGAGGAACACCGGUGGCGAAGGCGGGUCUCUGGGCCGAUAACUG